rnacentral:SRP_RNA from 1 species
GCUGGGUGUGGUGGCGCAUGCCUGUAAUCCCAGCUACUCAGGAGGCUGAGGCAGGGGAAUUGCUUGAACCCAGGAGGUAGAGGUUGCAGUGAGCCGAGAUUGUGCCACUGCACUCCAGCCUGGGCAACAGAGCAAGACACUGUCUCAA